rnacentral:rRNA from 1 species
AGUCAGUCGUGUUCUUCAGAUUCAGCUGGUUCUUCCAGUCUACUUCUGUUGAACGGGUCAACAUCAGUUUUGUCCGGUGGAUAAAGGUAGUAGGAAUGUGACUCCCCCGGGAGUGUUAUAGCCUAUUAUUGCAUACACUGGGUGAGACUGAGGACUGCAGCUCGCCUUUUGGCCGGUCUUCGGACACGUUCGAGCUUAGGAUGUUGACAUAAUGGCUUUAAACGACCCGUCUUGA